GACGAACGCUGGCGGCGUGCUUAACACAUGCAAGUCGAACGGAAAGGCCUGCUUUCCCUUGUGGAUUGCGGGUACUCGAGUGGCGAACGGGUGAGUAACACGUGAGUGAUCUGCCCCCAACUUGGGUAUAAGCCUGGGAAACUGGGUCUAAUUCCCGAUAGGACUGCAGGGUGGUGCCUGUGGUGGAAAACGAUUUUCUAGUGGUUGGGGAUGAGCUCGUGGCCUAUCAGCUUGUUGGUGGGGUAAUGGCCUACCAAGGCGGCGACGGGUAGCCGGCCUGAGAGGGUGGACGGCCACAUUGGGACUGAGAUACGGCCCAGACUCCUACGGGAGGCAGCAGUGGGGAAUAUUGCACAAUGGGCGGAAGCCUGAUGCAGCGACGCCGCGUGGGGGAUGACGGCCUUCGGGUUGUAAACUCCUUUCGACCGCGAGGAAGCCACCUGGUUGGAAGGGUGGUGACGGUAGUGGUAGAAGAAGCACCGGCUAACUACGUG
rnacentral:rRNA from 1 species